rnacentral:rRNA from 1 species
UUAGGAAUCUUGCGCAAUGGGCGAAAGCCUGACGCAGCAACGCCGCGUGAGGGAUGAAGGCUCUCGGAUUGUAAACCACUUUCAGCAGGAACGAAAUUGACGGUACCUGCAGAAGAAGCUCCGGCCAACUACGUGCCAGCAGCCGCGGUAAUACGUAGGGAGCAAGCGUUGUCCGGAUUUAUUGGGCGUAAAGAGCUCGUAGGCGGUUAAGUAAGUCAGGUGUGAAACCUCCAGGCUCAACCUGGAGACGCCACUUGAUACUGCUUUGACUUGAGUUCGGUAGGGGUAAGCGGAAUUCCUGGUGUAGCGGUGAAAUGCGCAGAUAUCAGGAAGAACACCGACGGCGAAGGCAGCUUACUGGGCCGAUACUGACGCUGAGGAGCGAAAGCGUGGGGAGCGAACAGGAUUAGAUACCCCCGUAGUCC